AUGAGGUCAUCAGGCACUCAAUCCUUCCCUCUCUUUGAGGGGGGUCAGGAGAUGCUAGAAAUGCUGCAGAAUUCUUCCUUCCGAUGCCCCAAAAGGAAAAGCUGGGAUGAUGAGGUAACUGAGGAUUAUCGGUCAGCAUCUUCUUUGGCUUCCCACCGCAUGUCCCACAGGGGCCUUCCUGGGACAGAUGCUUGGAAAAUGGAGGACUCCAGUACUCAAUUCAUUGGCCUACUUAGCUGCUUCCUCGUGGGAAUAUCAGUUCUCGGGACACUGAUCAGGAGAGGAAAUGGGAUUUUAAGCACAACCAGCACCGUGGACAUUCCUACCCAUAAUUUAAAUCCAAUUUUUAACUAUCACCACUCAGAUUGCCUAAAAGGGGAUGUGAGAGGGGAAAAGUGA
rnacentral:lncRNA from 1 species